rnacentral:rRNA from 1 species
UACAGAGGCCCCAAGCAUUAUCCGGAAUCACUGGGCGUAAAGGGUGUGCAGGCGGUUUAAUUAGUCCUUCGUGAAAGCACCUAGGCUCAACCUAGGUAACGCGGUGGAAACGGUUAAACUACGAGGACGCGAGAGGUAGAGGGAACUCAUGGUGUAGGGGUGAAAUCCGUUGAUAUCAUGGGGAACACCAAAUGCGAAGGCACUCUACUGGCGCGCUCCUGACGCUCAUACACGAAAGCGUGGGAAUCGAACGGG